GCGAAAGGCUUCGAAAGUCACCGGCGAACGUUCGCGGAGUGCACGUGUACGUGAUCCGGACUGCUGCGGUUUGUCUUCCGGGGUGUCUCACCAGAAAAUGAUCUUGGACAGGAGAUUCGCCGACUGCGCCGGAUCAAAAUAUCAUCUGCAGACAUCACGGUCCAAGGGGGAUUCCAGCCAAACCUCAUCUGUCAGCCUAUCCAUUACUACCGCAAACAGGAAGGGGCUCAGCACAGAUCCCUGAUGCAGUCCCACCUCCACUUUAAAUUCUUCUGACACCCCUACGGCACAUCUCACCGCUGUUCUGCUGCCCUUAUACACGUCCUGUACUAUUCUAGCAUAUAUCUCCGCCACACCAGACUUGUGCAAGCAGUACCACAGUUCCUCUCUUGGUACUCUGCCACAGGCUUUGUCUAACUCUACAAAGACACAAUGUAGUUCCUUCUGAAUUUCUCUGUCCUUUCUCUGUACGGAGGAGAAUAUUUACAAUACACGAGACCUGUUGUGCUGUUGGUUGUCACAACAGACAAGAGAGAUAUUCAAAGAGAUCAUCCUAUGGAAUAGCAGCUCAAAAGACCGGCAAUUAAAUAUGAUGGAUGGUCCCGAACCAAAAUACGCACACGCCUGUGUAGCGAUCGCUUCAUUUCAGUGCUGAUUCUGUCCAGGCUCGUGUGGACCCAGAGGCCAUCUCAUCUGACUUCAGCCAAAAGGCAGACUACACCCCGGAUUGGUGGCCAGUCAACCAUAGAGAAACCGGAAGAAUCCAGUUAGCCACCAUUCGUAUGAGACUCAAUAAAAAUGUUAAUGCAGCAGGGACUUCAGCUAAUGAGAGUUGGAUGCAAUAUCGGCUGCAGCGCCUUUCUCCAGAUGAUUCCCGGCUAAGCUACUUGGAAUUUCUUUUUCCUGGAAUGUUGAUCAAAAAAAGUUUUUGGGCCUUGGCGAACUACGUCAGACGGAUUGAGCAGCCGGUUUAGAGUUUGUAACAAACCCGCGUAAACAAUAGCCAGCCGUGAGUUGCGUGCCAAGGGUGACUCAUUCAGGUAAACUAUUUAUGAGAUUAACGUCUAAUUGGUCCAGUCCCUUUUGAGAGAGUAAAAUGUAUUCACACACACUUUAAAGACAAUCUGAUCUUAAUAACAUUUCUUUUUUAAAAACGUUAUCUUCGGCAAACCAGUGGAGCAUCUGCCGAACGUCUUCUAAAGUUACAGCUAAGGUUUAUGUGGUGAAAUCUCAAUUUAGACCAUUCCCUGUUGUCUCUACCGAGUUAAUGGUCCUCUGUGUGCCCUGUAAUGGUUUUGUGACCGAUCCAGAGUAUGUCUCCCCGAUGCACGUUUGUUUUUACCAGCUGUGACAUCGCAUGAAAAAAAAACAACAACUUCUGAAACAAACAGAACUCUGCCCUCUUCCUGCUAUAAAAUAUUUACUGCGGGUAACAAUCAACAAAGUGACUGCACAACGGCACAUAAUAUAAUUUCAUAAAAGUUGAAUAAAAAGCACACCAACAAGUAAGCAGUAAUAAUGCAGUGACCCUCUGACUUCUACCGCCUUCCUCUUUGCCAAUUCACGGUCAUCUCCCACAUUUAUUCCUGUAGUUAUCUUGUGUUUGAUCUACCUAAAAAAAAUUUUUAUAAAGUCUCUCCUUCAGAACUUUGCAGCCAGUGUGAUAUGGCCCUACUUAUUUUUUCCUGGCUCGUCAACAUCGCCGGAGUUCCUUUUCUUCCGAGAAUCUCGAGUCUCUCUGCUCUGCAACUGAUCAUAACCUUACCAGAAUGAUCUAAUCUUUUCCAUAUUUUCAAAUAAAGACAAUAACCUAUCUGUUCAUGAUAUUCCAGGUAACUUCAUUGGUUACAAGAGCCAGAUAAAUGUUGGCAAAACAUCCAAGCCCUCGUUUUCUCUGGGUCUUUGUAAAAUCUCAGCUAUGUGAACCGAUAUACGGUACACCACCCGUAACCCCAGCUAUUCCCCCAUCUAUUCUAUAUUUUAACAUGUUUUUUGGUCACGUGACAUCACAUACUGUACUAAGAAAGCGUAACUGGAUUGGCUGGCUGUCUGGUGCUGACCUGAAGGAACCCUGCCUGGUGGCACAGAUGGUGAAUUUUAGACAGCAAAUUGUAGCAACUAUUGAAAAUGUGAUCACUUUACAUUGCAAAUUCAAAUCCUGUUUUCUGCGGCGUUUCAAAUUCAAAUCCUGGUGGCACUAAUUUACUUCCAUAGUUAGAUGGAAGCACGCACCGGAAAGGAGAGGAAUAAAGAUUACCGAAGUAAAACCGAAUAUAUGUGCAUGAAUGUGAGGGGUGCAGGAGGAAGAGUGAAGCUCCAGGGAGAAGAGAUAGCGAGGGUGGACGACUUCAAAUACUUGGGGUCAACGAUCCAGACCAAUGGUGAGUGUGUUAAGGAAGUGAAGAAACGGGUCCAAGCGGGGUAGAACAGUUGGUGGAAGGUGUCUGGUGCUCUAUGUGACAGAAGACUCUCCGCCAGGAUGAAGGGCAAAGUUUAUAAAACAGCGGUGAGGUCGGCCACGAUGUGCGGAUUAGAGACGGUGGCACUGAAGAAACAACAGGAAGCAGAACUGGAGGUGCCAGAAAUGAAGGUGCUGAGGUUCUUGCUCGCAGUGAGCAGGUUGGAUAGGAUUAGAAAUGAGGUCAUUCGAGGAACAGCCAAAGUUGGAUGUUUUGGAGACAAGAUUCGGGAGAGCAGACUUCGAUGGUUUGGACACGUUCAGAGGCGAGAGAGUGAGUAUAUUGGUGGAAGAGUGCUGAGGAUGGAGCCGCCAGGCUGUGGGAUGUGGUGAGGGAAGACUUGAGGACAGUGGGUGUUAAAGAGGAGGAUGCGCGAGAUAGACUCAGAUGGAAAAAGAUGACACGCUGUGGCGACCCCUGACGGGACAAGCCGAAAGGAAAAGAAGUUUUUGGCCUAUGUGAUUGACACCUUAGUUUUACAACCGCCACUCAGAGCCACUGCAACAAACACGAGACUCUAGUCUGGACUCUAGACCGGUGGUUCUCAACUGUUAUCCCCCACUUUGACUUGCAUUUUCAAAUUUGCGACCCACUUUCGUAGGAGGAGAACUUCCUCCUCUUGUCUCACCUUGUCCCAUUGGGGGUCACCACAGCGCAUCAUCCUUUUUAAUGCAAGUCCAUUUCCUCUGCAACUGCCCUCAUGUCUUCCCUUAUUACAGUAGUGUUCCAAAUAAUAGCAGUCCAAUGUGACUAAUCUGAUUAAGCCACAUUUUCUGUGUAUUUUUUACUGCCACAUGCCAAACAAUUUACCAGUCGGUGCAGUAGAUUCCCAGAAAACCAACAAGACCUGGAAUUCAUGGCAUACACACUCUUAAGACUUCAGGUGGCCCCUAUUUAAGGGUGCAUUUCUCCUUGAAAGGCUGAAGAAAAUCGCUUGUUCAACACAUUUUUAAGAAAAAACAACGUACUUUGAUUAAAAGUUUCAUUGGACAAGGGAAACCUGAUAAAAAGUGGAAAAAAUUAUAGGUUGUUCAGGUAAAAUGAUCUCUAAUGGCUUAAAACGGAGAGCAAAACCAGAGACAUGUGGCAGAAAACAGUACACAACCAUCAAAAUGGAUCGCAGAAUAACCAGAAUGGCAAAGUCUCAGCCGAUGAUCAGCUCCAGGAUGAUCAAAUACAGUCUGGGGUUACUUGUAAGUACUUCGAUAGCGAGGAGACGUCCGUGUGAAACUAAUUUAUUUACAAGAAUCCCCUGCAAAGUCCCUCUGUUAAAAAAAAAAAAAAAAAAAAGGCAUGUGCAGAAGAGGCUACAAUUUGCCUAAGGACACAUCAACAGGCCUGAAGAGAAAUGGAGACCCGUUUUGUGGAUUUAUGAGAAUAAAACUGCUCUUUUGGGGCGAGGGGCCGAUGACAGCUUGAGAGACGAUCUCCCAAACUAUGAAUUCAAGCCCUAGUACACAGUGAAGACAGGGAAGGGUCAUGAUAUGGGCAUGUCUCUCCUACUAUGGUGUUGAGGCUAUUUAUCGCAUACCAUGGAUGAUGGAUCGGUUUGCGUAUGUCAAAAUACUUGAAGAGGAGGCCAUGUUACCUUAUGCCCUUGAAAUGGCUGUUUCACCAAGACAAUGACCCCAAACACACAACUUAACAUGCAAAGUCUUGUUUUCAAACCAACAAAGUUCAUGUCGUGGAGUGGCCAGCUCAAUCCCCAGACCUUAACCCAAUCGAGAACUUGCGGUGUUGCUGUUUCUGAAGCAAAACCAAGAAAUGCCAAUGAAUUGUAGAAUGUCGUGAAGAAAUCUUGAAGUGUAAUAAAAGUUGAAAGGUGCCACAAGUUGCUUGACUCCAUGCCACUCAGAUGUGAAACGGUUAUUAAAAAAAUGCAGUGAUACAACUAAAUAUCAGUUUAUUGAUUGGUAAAUCAGAGAAACAAAAAAGUUUCUACAGAAUAGUUUUCAGUUCGACGGCAGACUGGUAUUAAUUUUAAACCCCUUUCAAGAAAUUGUCCGAUUCCACAGCCUUAAGACAGUGUAUAUCACAAAUGCCGGGUUUUUUUGGUUUUCUGAGAAAGGUUAGGGCUGAGAUCCAACAAAGACACAAUCUAGUUCAGUUUGACCUUCUCUGUACUUUUCCACUGUCACCCUCAAGGCAAAUAAUCCAUCUGUGAUACUCUUUCUAGACACGAAAUCAUACUGUUGCUCAUAGAUCUUACUUCCGUGCUUAGUCUCGCCUCCACUACUCCUUCCCCCUCAGUGCCACCUCCUGGUCCACCACACUAGCCUUUUCUACCAUUCCUUCUCCCUCAUUUUCUUCAUUCAUCAACUCCUCAAAGUAUUAUUUCCAUCUAUCCAACACACCACUGGCACCAGUCAACACAUUUCCAUCUGGCCGACUGGUUAGCACAUCAACGUGAGAGUUCUGUGGACCGGGGUUCAAAACCCAGCCUAGCCUGUUUGGAGUUUGCACCUUCUCCCCGUGCCUGCAUGGGUCUGUUUACCUCCAACAUCCUAAAAAAAUGUGUGGUAGGUUGAUUGAAGACUAGGUCUAAAUGUGAGUGCGAAUGGUCAUUUGUUUAUAUGUGCCCUGCGACCGGAUGGCGACCAGUUAACGGUGUACCCUGCCUUUCAACCAUAGAUAGCCGGGAUAGGCCCCAGCACGCCCGGGACCCUAGUGUGAAUGAGCUGGACUAGAAAAUGGACGGAUGAAUGUUUCAAAUGAGUUUGCUGUGACCACCAAAGGCUUAUUGGUCACAAUGAUGUCCACCAGCCAAAGCCUGAGCUGCAGUGUAUGUGUUCACAGUGUGUACAUAGGAUACAAAGUAAACUAGUUGUUAGAAAACAAGAAAUUAACAUUUCUCGUGACUCUCUUACAUUCCGUGUGGGAACUCAUUAAGCCUCUGUAUUGUAUGAGAAAAUCCGAAUAAUAACAUAUCUAAUUUCUUUAACGAGCUGUCUGCGACCAACCCAAAAUGAGUCUGGGACCCUCCAGUUAAGAAUCACCGCAAGACUAUGACCCGAAAAUCUGAGGGAAAAAAGCCUGAGUCAUUGGUACUGCUGCAGGUACACAGGAAAAAAAAAAAUACUGCAACCAUACAUUUAGAAGUGAAACGUGGCUUUUCGGAUCAAAGAUGAACUCAAAUGAGGAGAGCACCCUCACUCAAAUCUUUGUGGAUCACCACUUGAUGGCGCUACGGUGUUCCAAAGUGAGUGCAGGGCAUCCUGAUGGUUGCACUGCUACUGUGAUAAAAGUUCAGAAGCGGCAGAU